UAUUGCGCAAUGGGGGCAACCCUGACGCAGCCAUGCCGCGUGAAUGAAGAAGGCCUUCGGGUUGUAAAGUUCUUUCGGUGAUGAGGAAGGAGGAUGUUUAAAUAGGGCAUUCAAUUGACGUUAAUCACAGAAGAAGCACCGGCUAACUACGUGCCAGCAGCCGCGGUAAUACGGAGGGUGCGAGCGUUAAUCGGAAUAACUGGGCGUAAAGGGCACGCAGGCGGAUAAUUAAGUGAGAUGUGAAAUCCCCGAGCUUAACUUGGGAAUUGCAUUUCAUACUGGUUAUCUAGAGUCUUGUAGAGAGGGGUAGAAUUCCACGUGUAGCGGUGAAAUGCGUAGAUAUCUGAAGGAACACCAGUGGCGAAGGCGACUCCCUGGACUAGAACUGACGCUGAGUACGAAA
rnacentral:rRNA from 1 species